rnacentral:rRNA from 1 species
UACGGAGGGUGCGAGCGUUGUCCGGAAUUACUGGGCGUAAAGAGCUCGUAGGUGGUUUGUCGCGUUGUCCGUGAAAACUCACAACUCAAUUGUGGGCGUGCGGGCGAUACGGGCAGACUGGAGUACUGCAGGGGAGACUGGAAUUCCUGGUGUAGCGGUGGAAUGCGCAGAUAUCAGGAGGAACACCGGUGGCGAAGGCGGGUCUCUGGGCCGAUACUGACGCUGAGGAGCGAAAGCGUGGGGAGCAAACAGG